UACGGCUAUAAAAUUUUGACCCUGUUUUUAUGUCUGAAUCCGAUUGGUCAAAUGUAGAGUCAAUCUGUCUAAUCAGAGGGCAGAUGGUUGCAUUGCGUUCAUCUCCCUGCAGGUCUUGAAAGAUGGACGACGGUGCAGCUCUCCCACAAUCCAGAUGCUGAAGGAGGCCAAAGACUACAGCUCCAUCCUGAAAGUUCAGAGGGCCAUGGUAAUGAAAUGAGUGUUAUCAGGGCCUAGGAUGCCACAGCUUUGAUCCAGAUGGCCAGAUGAUCCACAUCAGCCUGGUUUGCAGUCUGCUGUACCAGCCUUGACCACUCAGGAGCCAUUGUAGAGACACAGAUCAGUAGGAGGCAUGACAAUAGGCCAAAGAGACAGAGGCUUGCCCCUGCAUCAGAUGAAUACCACCUGUGAAGUAUCCACAGUCACCACAUCAAACUACAUAUCUGCCAUAUUAAAUUACCUCUAUAUAGCUAUUCAUUUAUAUUUGUGAUUUGUAAUCCAGCCUUCUGUAUAUAUUUAUU